rnacentral:ncRNA from 1 species
CGUUAAGAGGUCACCUCUGUCGUUACCUGCUUUAUGCAGAUACGAGAAUGUGGCUGUCAA